rnacentral:rRNA from 1 species
AUGGCCCCAUUGCUACGUCCAGCAGGUGCGACGAUAAACACUGUCAAUGAGUUGAUUGACACGGGCAGCUGGACAUGGCGUAGGGAGCUUGUAAGAGAUAAUUUCAUUGCUCCGGAUGCGGCAGCAAUCCUGAAUAUUCCGCUACGGCGGGGAGGCGGUGAAGAUUUCUUUGCGUGGGCACACGAGAAGUCAGGCAUUUACUCUGUUAAAUCGGCGUAUCGAGCUCUAGGGAAUCAAAAAGAGCGCUUAGCUCUAGAUGAAGGGCAGAUUACCGGCACCUCAGCGAAUCAACAACAGAUGUGGAAUGCAAUCUGGAAACUCAAAGUCACACCAAAAGUGAGGGUCUUCUGGUGGCGGGUGAUGAGGGGUAUAUUACCUGAUGAAUGCACUCCAAGAAACCGCCAAAUAAGACAGAUCAGUACUUGCAAAAUCUGUCUAGCCAUGGACGAGGACCUGGAACAUGCACAUGCACGGAGGUUCUGGAAAGAAACAAGAUUGCUAUUUCAUGUUGAUUUACCUCGGCUUCAUCCUCAUACUUGGACGAAGGAUAUUUUAUGCGAUCACUGUUUUUCUGACAAGGAACGGUCGAUCUUCAUCACAGUGAUGUGGGCGAUCUGGACAUCUCGAAACUGGCUGACGCAUGAUAAUGAGGGGUGGAACCCAACUUACUCUAUCAGGCGGCUUAGAGAAGAUCUCGCCAUCCUGGAGUUACCUAGGUAG